rnacentral:rRNA from 1 species
AUACGGAGGAUGCAAGCGUUAUCCGGAUUUAUUGGGUUUAAAGGGUGCGUAGGCGGUUUGCUAAGCGGGAGGUGAAAUGCCGGCGCUCAACGUCGGAAGUGCCUCCCGAACUGGUGGACUUGAAUGACUCUGCCGUGGGAGGAAUGUGUAGUGUAGCGGUGAAAUGCUUAGAGAUUACACAGAACACCGAUUGCGAAGGCAUCUCACGAAGGGUUGAUUGACGCUGAGGCACGAAAGCGUGGGGAUCAAACAGGAUUAGAUACCCUGGUAGUCCACGCAGUAAACGAUGAUGGCUAACCGCUGGGCUUAUCAGUUCAGUGGCCAAGCGAAAGCGAUAAGCCAUCCACCUGGGGAGUACGACCGCAAGGUUGAAACUCAAAUAAAUUGGCGGGG